UUCGUUAACCACUGAGCCAUGACGGGAACUCCUCAAGCAUAAUGUUUUACAGGAUGACGGAGCAGUAGGCCCUCGGCCUGAGUCUGAAUUCUGGCUCUGCCCUUUGACCUCGGGCAAGUUACUUACUGUUUCCAAGUUUUUGUUUCUUCCCCCCUGGCCUGGAAGUAUAAACAACCACUUGGCAAAGUUGAUGUCAACAUUAAAUAAGAUAAUAUAGGAAAGGAGUGAUUAUAAUACCUGUUCAGCAAAUAGGUAUGGAUGUAUGUGUAUAAACUAAGGAAGCCCACCAUCCAUUCUAAAAUGGUUCUCUAUUCUUCACAGAUGGACAUAGCUCUGCUCUUCCCGCAAGAGUUCGCCUCAGUGUCUGAGACUGGCUGUGUGGAUGACCCGCUCUGAACUUGGAAAGUUCCUUUCUCCCCACCAUUCCUGUCUCUCCUCCAGCAUCACCAUUAAAGCAUCCCUCUCUGGGGAUGCUGUCUGCUCACACUGCCCAGAAGAGCUUGUAAAGGAGGCCUCCUUCCUGCCCAGGGCUCUGGAGCGAGGAAAGGACUCCAGUACAGCCUAUUUUCCUCCCACAAACACUUAGAGUAUCUGCCACAUGCUAGGCCCUGGACUAGAGGGUCCAAGAUGAGCAAAAUCUGGUCCCGUCCCAGCCCUCUAGGGUGUCAGGGAAGCCAAGGUACCAAACCCACAUACACAGCACAUGACAACCGUACACGGAGAGCGCAGGGCAGGCUCCCAGUUGCUGGCCACACAGAGGAGAGUCGAGUGCAGAGAGGCCCAAGGAGGGCGCCCCCAGUGGUGGGCCGCGGGCACAGCGGUUGCUUCCUUCCUGGCGGACACGGAAGUUGACCUCUCCAGUCAUCCGGUGAUUUGUGCAGGGAGGGGAAGGGAGCGCGCCAGGCUAGGUGCUGACGGGACGUCCCUGUCAACACAAUGUUCCGCCUGGCCGGGCCUUCAUAUAUAAAGAUAUUUAAUGAAUUAGUUAAUUAAUGAGAGGAGUUUGAUUGAUAGAUCAUAUGGCGCUCGCAGCAGGGAAUUAGAACACAAUUUAGCACAUUGCUGAUGUUCAAUAAAUAAUGAGUAAAGGACAUCAUUAAGUAAAGAAUUAAGAGUCUUCAAAAUAGGAGACUUGUGGGAGAGACCUUGAAGAUGAAAUAAUCUCGAACUCUCAAAUUGUGAGUGAGAACUUUUACAGGCGGACUGGGCGGCCGAGGCUGGUGAACAGCAAGUGUCUUGGGCAGAUGGGCGGACCCCACGGACCUUAAACUGGUGAGAAGAGCUGCAAAUUUUUUGUGAAGACAGCACCAUCUUUCAGCUGCCUGAACGGGGAAGGGCAACACAAGAAGCAAACAUUUCUUCAGAUCUCUCCAGUUUAAAAAGCACUUUGACAUUUAAUGCCCACCAGGCAAAGUAGGUAUUAUUUCAGAUUCACAGAUGAGGAACCUGCAGAGAGGUUGCAGAGACUCCAGCUUUCCUUCCUGAAUUCAGAUCUGAUGCUCUGCUCCUGGGAUUGCCGGGCACGCACUCACUCUCAACGACGCCUGCCAUUUCUGCCGGCAGAGACAGGUUCCAGGCAGUCACCCCUCACACCUCUCAGUCCAGGCUCCAUCACCAGGAUAUCCCAGAGCAGCACCCGAGAAAAUUUCUUUCUGCUAACAUCCGAGGGUUGGGGAUUUCUCACCUAUGUCUGUGCCUGCGAAGCCCUAGCUCAACCCUCCCUCUUACUCCACAAGCCUCUGCCAUCUCAUCAUUUCCAGUGCAGAGCUCAUGUCAGCAUGAGACAAGGGAGCUCAGAGGGAUGGCAAUGCCUCACAGAUGUAAUCGCCUGUACUCUCUGAUUUAUUUACAUCAUUCCCGAAUUUCUUAUGAAAAAUAAAAUGGGGCUCGUCAUGCCUCUUUGACAGAUGAGGAAACAAGUUCAGAGAGGUCAAGCAAUUUUUCCCACAUCACACAGCUGGUGUCCGAGAAAACCAGGAUCUGAUUAGGGUGUCCUGUCCCUUCCCUUCUCUUGGGUAAGGGUCCCAGAGAUGCAGGCUGUGUUUGGUGUGGCAGUGUGGCAGAUUCAGGGAGUGUCCUGCUUCUUCCCGAGUUGAAAGCCAGGACUGACUCUCUUAGCUACUUGGACCCAAAGUGUCUGGGCAUAUUUUAGCUUGUGGUUUUUCUUUUUUGUUUUUGUUUUUAGUGAGGCAAAUAAGUGUUUAUUAGGAAGAGAAAGACAGUAGGAGUGGAAAAAGCAUAGGCAGGAGUUCCUAUUGUGGCCCAGCAGUAAUGAACUUGACUAGUAUCCAUGAGGUUGCGGGUUUGAUUCCUGGCCUCAAUCAGUGAGUUAAGGAUCUGAGAUGGCCAUGAGCUGUGGUU